UCUAGAAUCACCUGGGAAGGGACUCUCAGAGAUGGGUUGUCUACAUUGGUUAGCCCGAUGUUUUAUUAGAGCAACUGGAAACUGACCACAGUUGAGCAGCAAUAUGAACUAGCCACACAGCAGCUCUCUAAACAGUGAUAAUGGACACUGUGCACAAGGCAGGCAGAAAGAGCAGGCACCACAGCCAGCUUCCGGGUUCUCUGUGCCAUGGAGAAAUGGAUCUUGGUUCCUGCAGGAGGAAGAGGGAAGAAACAGCAGCGUGUUCCAAGAACGGUCCGCUGUGAUGAGUCGCCAGGCUUGUGUCAAGUGUUCGUAUUGUAAAAUCUUGAGAACUGUAAGCAUCACCAUGCAUCCACACGCCUAGGGAGCCAAAGAGCACCGCCCACAGUGGAACCCAGUGACGAUCAGCUGGGAGGUAAUGCCCAGCACCUUAUACCAGCCAACAGUGUCCUGAGACCUCUACCAGUGGCAUAUGUUCAUCUCUGAGAGCUAAAGUCAGGCUCAGUUUCCAGACGAGAGGGCAGAGAUUUAGAAAGGUGGCUUAGAUUUCUAAAAUUUCUAAAGCCAGCUAGGGCAGCUGGGUUCAAAUCACAGUGGUUUGUACCUGUGCCAAGUGUAUUACGGUUCUCACUGGUGUGGCCAAAGUCUUAACAAAAAAAAAA